UGGAUGACUGAGGAUGGAGCUGGACACAUGUGAGGGCUUUGCCGCUAGCUCUCAACAAGGGCCCGAUGUAAACGCAGAAGAAUUGUCCUGGAACAUUCAGCGCUACCUAAAGUUGAGGACAUGUACCUUCAGAGUUUGCUCUGCUUCUAAAACAGAUCACACCAAAAUGAUUUCGGGCCACAGCUUAUGUGAGAAAGGGGGUCUGUUUUUGUCUUUGGUUAUCUAGCUGUAUGAGUGUUAAAUGCCUGUCAUAAAGCUAGAUAACCGAAAGUAGAAAUGACUUCCAUACCGUUGUGUUCAUUACCAAGACAAAACGAGGCUCCUCAGGUGGAUUUACACCGAAAAAGCUUCCCUAAUAACACUGAAAGAUCCGGGAUGCCUGAACAGACCCGCCAUUAAACAAAAUUGAGAAGAGAGGAAGAAAACGGUUGGUCCGGAUUUGCCACCUCCUCCCACCCUCCCCCGUUGUACCCGGGAGCUCCUGAUGCCAUCUGUGCUGCCAACAGAGACACUUUGCUCGUGCCAAGAGGCGGACAAAGACCCUCUCCAGAUCCCAGGAGUAUGGGCGCGCUCAGAGGAGCCAUCUUGGGAGAUGUUUGCCGCGACAACUAAAAUGGCUGGGCUGGCACUGGAGGGUUGGACCAGGAGCUGGCACACCAACGACCAACUUCAACAAAAGUCAUCAGUCUAGCUAGACUCUGCAGACCAUGAAUUUGAGAUUAUGAGAUUAUUAUCCCAAUGUACUGUAGUACCCUGACAUGUACAAGUCAAAAUAUGUCUGAAGAUACUGAAACAAUAGGGAAGUUUGGAUAAAAACUGUAAAUAAAUACUUGAUUAUUCCUGCUUAUUGCACACUCAAUAAUGCAUGUGUAUUUUUAAUUUUUAAAUAAAUACCCUUUUCUCUUUCUAUGGUUAAGUUAAAUGUUUUGAUAAGAUAAAUGUAUUAAUAACAAAAUGUACUAUUAUGAGUGAUAUAUCAGUGAAAUAAAAAUUAUGGAUAUA